rnacentral:rRNA from 1 species
AGUGAACGCUGGCGGUAGGCCUAACACAUGCAAGUCGAACGGCAGCACAGGAGAGCUUGCCCUCUGGGUGGCGAGUGGCGGACGGGUGAGGAAUACAUCGGAAUCUACCUUUUCGUGGGGGAUAACGUAGGGAAACUUACGCUAAUACCGCAUACGACCUACGGGUGAAAGUGGGGGACCGCAAGGCCUCACGCGAUUAGAUGAGCCGAUGUCCGAUUAGCUAGUUGGCGGGGUAAUGGCCCACCAAGGCGACGAUCGGUAGCUGGUCUGAGAGUGGAAGCAGCCACACUGGAACUGAGACACGGUCCAGACUCCUACGGGAGGCAGCGGUGGGGAAUAUUGGACAAUGGGCGCAAGCCUGAUCCAGCCAUACCGCGUGGGUGAAGAAGGCCUUCGGUUUGUAAAGCCCUUUUGUUGGGAAAGAAAUCCUAUCGGUUAAUAACCGGUGGGGAUGACGGUACCCAAAGAAUAAGGAUCGGCUAACUCCGUGCCAGCCGCCGCAGUAAAAC